UGGGGAAUAUUGGACAAUGGGCGAAAGCCUGAUCCAGCCAUGCCGCGUGUGUGAAGAAGGCCUUUUGGUUGUAAAGCACUUUAAGCGGGGAGGAGGGCACCACGGUUAAUACCCGUGAAUGUCGGACGUUACCCGCAGAAUAAGCACCGGCUAACUCUGUGCCAGCAGCCGCGGUAAUACAGAGGGUGCGAGCGUUAAUCGGAAUUACUGGGCGUAAAGCGCGCGUAGGCGGCUUGUUAAGUCGGAUGUGAAAUCCCUGGGCUCAACCUAGGCAUUGCAUUCGAUACUGGCAAGCUAGAGUAUGGGAGAGGAAGGUAGAAUUCCAGGUGUAGCGGUGAAAUGCGUAGAGAUCUGGAGGAAUACCGAUGGCGAAGGCAGCCUUCUGGCCUAAUACUGACGCUGAGGUGCGAAAGCAUGGGGAGCAAACAGGAUUAGAUACCCCCGUAGUCC
rnacentral:rRNA from 1 species